rnacentral:rRNA from 1 species
CGCUGAGGCGCGAAAGUGUGGGGAGCAAACAGGAUUAGAUACCCUGGUAGUCCACACUGUAAACGAUGAAUGCUAGGUGUAGGGGGUAUCGACCCCUUCUGUGCCGCAGUUAACACAAUAAGCAUUCCGCCUGGGGAGUACGGCCGCAAGGUUGAAACUCAAAGGAAUUGACGGGGGCCCGCACAAGCAGCGGAGCAUGUGGUUUAAUUCGACGCAACGCGAAGAACCUUACCAGGUCUUGACAUCCAGUAAAAGCCAUAGAGAUAUGGUGUGAGCUUGCUCAUACUGAGACAGGUGGUGCAUGGUUGUCGUCAGCUCGUGUCGUGAGAUGUUGGGUUAAGUCCCGCAACGAGCGCAACCCUUAUUUUCAGUUACUAACGCGUAGAGGCGAGGACUCUGAAGAGACUGCCGGGGACAACUCGGAGGAAGGUGGGGACGACGUCAAAUCAUCAUGCCCCUUAUGACCUGGGCUACACACGUGCUACAAUGGCCACCACAGAGAGGAGCGAACCUGCGAGGGGGAGCGGAUCUCAAAAAAGUGGUCCCAGUUCGGAUUGUGGGCUGCAACCCGCCCACAUGAAGUCGGAGUGCUAGUAAUCGC